rnacentral:tRNA from 1 species
GGUGGCUCAGUUGGUUGAGCAUCUGACUUUGGCUCAGGUCAUGAUCUCAUGGUUCAUGGGUUCAAGUCCCACACCA